AUUGAACGCUGGCGGCAGGCCUAACACAUGCAAGUCGAACGAGUGGCGGACGGGUGAGUAAUGUCUGGGAAACUGCCUGCUGGAGGGGGAUAACUACUGGAAACGGUAGCUAAUACCGCAUACAAUCAGAUGUGCCCAGAUGGGAUUAGGUUGUUGGUGGGGUAACGGCUCACCAAGGCGACGAUCCCUAGCUGGUCUGAGAGGAUGACCAGCCACACUGGAACGAGGACACGGUCCAGACUCCGACGGGAGGCAGCAGUGGGAAAUAUUGCACAAUGGGCGCAAGCCGGAGGCAGCCAAGCCGCGUGUAUGAAGAAGGCCUUCGGGUUGUAAAGUACUUUCAGCGGGGAGGCGGUACCCGCAGAAGAAGCACCGGCUAACUCCGUGCCAGCAGCCGCGGUAAUUC
rnacentral:rRNA from 1 species